GAAUCUUGGUCAAUGGGCGCAAGCCUGAACCAGCGACGCCGCGUGAGUGAUGAAGGCCUUCGGGUUGUAAAGCUCUGUGGGGAGGGACGAAAGUGCACGUGUCGAAUAGGCAUGUGUUUUGACGGUACCUCCUUAGCAAGCACCGGCUAACUCUGUGCCAGCAGCCGCGGUAAGACAGAGGGUGCAAACGUUGCUCGGAAUCACUGGGCGUAAAGCGCGUGUAGGCGGACACGUAAGUCAGAUGUGAAAGCCCUGGGCUCAACCCAGGAACUGCAUUUGAAACUGUGUGUCUUGAGUGUUGGAGAGGAAAGCGGAAUUCCUGGUGUAGAGGUGAAAUUCGUAGAUAUCAGGAGGAACACCGGCGGCGAAGGCGGCUUUCUGGACAACUACUGACGCUGAGACGCGAAAGCGUGGGGAGCAAACAGGA
rnacentral:rRNA from 1 species